rnacentral:tRNA from 1 species
GGGAAGGUGGCGGAGUGGUUGAACGUCCUCGUCUCGAAAACGAGUAGGGUGCAAGCCCUCGAGAGUUCGAAUCUCUCCCUUCCCGCCA